UACGUAGGGGGGCAAGCGUUGUCCGGAUUUAUUGGGCGUAAAGAGCGUGUAGGCGGCCAGGUAGGUCUGCUGUGAAAACUCGAGGCUUAACCUCGAGAUGUCGGCGGAAACCAUCUGGCUAGAGUCCGGAAGAGGAGAAUGGAAUUCCCGGUGUAGCGGUGAAAUGCGCAGAUAUCGGGAAGAACACCCGUGGCGAAGGCGGUUCUCUGGGACGGUACUGACGCUGAGACGCGAAAGCGUGGGGAGCGAACAGG
rnacentral:rRNA from 1 species